GAGCAGGAAGAGUCCGAGCGGCGGGCGGAGUCUGCAGGAUGGCACCGGACCCCUGGUUCUCCACAUACGAUUCUACUUGUCAAAUUGCCCAAGAAAUUGCUGAGAAAAUUCAACAACGAAAUCAGUAUGAAAGAAAAGGUGAAAAGGCACCGAAGCUUACCGUGACAAUCAGAGCUUUGUUGCAGAACCUGAAGGAAAAGAUCGCCCUUUUGAAGGACUUAUUGCUAAGAGCUGUGGCAACACAUCAGAUAACACAGCUUGAAGGGGACCGAAGACAGAACCUCUUGGAUGAUCUUGUAACUCGAGAGAGACUACUUCUGGCAUCCUUUAAGAAUGAGGGUGCCGAACCAGAUCUAAUCAGGUCCAGCCUGAUGAGUGAAGAGGCUAAGCGAGGAGCACCCAACCCUUGGCUCUUUGAGGAGCCAGAGGAGACCAGAGGCUUGGGUUUUGAUGAAAUCCGGCAACAGCAGCAGAAAAUUAUCCAAGAACAGGACGCAGGCCUUGAUGCCCUUUCUUCCAUCAUAAGUCGCCAAAAACAAAUGGGGCAGGAAAUUGGGAAUGAAUUGGAUGAACAAAAUGAGAUAAUUGACGACCUUGCCAACCUGGUGGAGAACACAGAUGAAAAACUUCGCACUGAAACCAGGCGUGUAAACGUGGUGGACAGAAAGUCAACCUCUUGCGGACUUUUCUUUUUACUGGAGAAAGUUAUGAACAAAGCCAAGCUGAUGAUCAAAUCCCUUCCGGAACAGUGGUUGAGAUCUGACCUCCGCCCAAGCCAGCAAGCAGGGAUGAUCAUGGUGAUUUUACUGCUGCUCGUGGCUAUCGUGGUGGUUGCGGUCUGGCCGACUAAUUGAUGGCAGUAAAGAGACCACCAGCUGUGACACCUGCCAGUGACAGAUACAAGCCCAGCACCCUUUUGGGUUGCUGUGAGGACAGAGUGAGUUGGCACAAGCACAGAGCGCCCUGCUUGGCUCCACUGAAAGAAAGUUCCUUUUGGCUGAGGCGGGCAGAUCACCUGAGGUCGGGAGUUCGAGACCAGCCUGACCAACACGGAGAAACCCCAU